rnacentral:rRNA from 1 species
GGGCGUAAGAGCUCGUAGGCGGUUUGUCGCGUCUGCUGUGAAAACUGGAGGCUCAACCUCCAGCCUGCAGUGGGUACGGGCAGACUAGAGUGCGGUAGGGGAGAUUGGAAUUCCUGGUGUAGCGGUGGAAUGCGCAGAUAUCAGGAGGAACACCGAUGGCGAAGGCAGAUCUCUGGGCCGUAACUGACGCUGAGGAGCGAAAGCGUGGGGAGCGAACAGGAUUAGAUACCCUGGUAGUCCACGCCGUAAACGUUGGGAACUAGAUGUGGGGACCAUUCCACGGUCUCCGUGUCGCAGCUAACGCAUUAAGUUCCCCGCCUGGGGAGUACGGCCGCAAGGCUAAAACUCAAAGGAAUUGACGGGGGCCCGCACAAGCGGCGGAGCAUGCGGAUUAAUUCGAUGCAACGCGAAGAACCUUACCAAGGCUUGACAUAUACGAGAACGGGCCAGAAAUGGUCAACUCUUUGGACACUCGUAAACAGGUGGUGCAUGGUUGUCGUCAGCUCGUGUCGUGAGAUGUUGGGUUAAGUCCCGCAACGAGCGCAACCCUCGUUCUAUGUUGCCAGCACGUUAUGGUGGGAACUCAUAGGAGACUGCCGGGGUCAACUCGGAGGAAGGUGGGGAUGACGUCAAAUCAUCAUGCCCCUUAUGUCUUGGGGCUUCACGCAUGCUACAAUGGCCGGUACAAAGGGCUGCAAUACCGUAAGGUGGAGCGAAUCCCAAAAAGCCGGUCUCAGUUCGGAUUGAGGUCUGCAACUCGACCUCAUGAAGUCGGAGUCGCUAGUAUCGUGAAUCAGCAACGUCACGGUGAUACGUUCCCGGUCUGUACACACGCCG